rnacentral:rRNA from 1 species
GACGGAGGGUGCAAGCGUUGCUCGGAAUCAUUGGGCGUAAAGGGUGCGUAGGCGGCUUUUUAAGUCUGACGUGAAAGCCCAAGGCUCAGCCUUGGAAGUGCGCCAGAAACUGAAAGGCUAGAGUGCCGGAGGGGAGAGUGGAAUUCCUGGUGUAGCGGUGAAAUGCGUAGAUAUUCGGAGGAACACCAGUGGCGAAGGCGGCUCACUGGCUCGGUACUGACGCUGAGGUGCGAAAGCGUGGGGAGCAAACAGG